rnacentral:tRNA from 1 species
CCGACCUUAGCUCAGUUGGUAGAGCGGAGGACUGUAGUAGUUGCAGCUGAAUCCUUAGGUCGCUGGUUCGAAUCCGGCAGGUCGGA